AACUUCUGAAUGUUGACCUCGGAUCAGGUAGGAAUACCCGCUGAACUUAAGCAUAUCAAUAAGCGGAGGAAAAGAAACCAACAGGGAUUGCCCUAGUAACGGCGAGUGAAGCGGCAACAGCUCAAAUUUGAAAUCUGGCUCUCGGGCCCGAGUUGUAAUUUGUAGAGGAUGCUUUUGAUGCGGUGCCUUCCGAGUUCCCUGGAACGGGACGCCAUAGAGGGUGAGAGCCCCGUCUGGUUGGAUGCCAAAUCUCUGUAAAGCUCCUUCGACGAGUCGAGUAGUUUGGGAAUGCUGCUCUAAAUGGGAGGUAUAUGUCUUCUAAAGCUAAAUACCGGCCAGAGACCGAUAGCGCACAAGUAGAGUGAUCGAAAGAUGAAAAGCACUUUGAAAAGAGAGUUAAAAAGUACGUGAAAUUGUUGAAAGGGAAGCGUUUAUGACCAGACUUGGGCUUGGUUAAUCAUCUGGGGUUCUCUCCAGUGCACUUUUCCAGUCCAGGCCAGCAUCAGUUUUCGCCGGGGGAUAAAGGCUUCGGGAAUGUGGCUCUCUCCGGGGAGUGUUAUAGCCCGUUGCGUAAUACCCUGGCGGGGACUGAGGUUCGCGCAUCUGCAAGGAUGCUGGCGUAAUGGUCAUCAACGACCCGUCU
rnacentral:rRNA from 2 species